rnacentral:rRNA from 1 species
CCAGCACCUGCGGUAAUUCCAGCUCCAAUAGCGUAUAUUAAAGUUGUUGCAGUUAAAACGCUCGUAGUCUGAUGUAAUGGGGACUGGAGUGGGGAGCAGCGAUGCUCUUUGCUUUGGUCCUCAUCAGGGGGCCAGCAAUGGCCCAGUUUACUUUGAGGAAAUUAGAGUGUUCAAAGCAGGCGAUUGCUUGAAUACUGCAGCAUGGAAUAAUGGAAUAGGACUCGCGUCUUAUUUUGUUGGUUUGGAGAUGUGAGUAAUGAUGAAUAGGGACAGUUGGGGGCAUUAGUAUUUAAUUGUCAGAGGUGAAAUUCUCGGAUUUGUUAAAGACUAACUUAUGCGAAAGCAUUUGC